UAGAGUUUGAUCAUGGCUCAGAUUGACCGUUGGCGGCAGGCCUAACACAUGCAAGUCGAGCGUGAAAGUCCUUCGGGAUGAGUAAAGCGGCGGACGGGUGAGUAACGCGUAGGAAUCUACCUAGUAGUGGGGGAUAACGUUCCGAAAGGAACGCUAAUACCGCAUACGUUCUGAGGAAGAAAGCAGGGGAUCUUCGGACCUUGCGCUAUUAGAUGAGCCUGCGUCCGAUUAGCUAGUUGGUGGGGUAAAGGCCUACCAAGGCGACGAUCGGUAACUGGUCUGAGAGGAUGAUCAGUCACACUGGAACUGAGACACGGUCCAGACUCCUACGGGAGGCAGCAGUGGGGAAUAUUGGACAAUGGGCGCAAGCCUGAUCCAGCCAUGCCGCGUGUGUGAAGAAGGCCUUCGGGUUGUAAAGCACUUUAAGCGGGGAGGAAGGCCUGAUGGCUAAUAUCCAUCAGGAUUGACGUUACCCGCAGAAUAAGCACCGGCAAACUUCGUGCCAGCAGCCGCGGUAAUA
rnacentral:rRNA from 1 species